rnacentral:piRNA from 1 species
UGUGACAUUUCCCUUGGGUAUUCUACACC